rnacentral:tRNA from 48 species
CGUUAGCUCAGUUGGUAGAGCAGUUGACUUUUAAUCAAUUGGUCGCAGGUUCGAAUCCUGCACGACCCACCA